rnacentral:tRNA from 1 species
UUGCACGUAGUAGAAGAUAAUACGUUGGAUUUAGGUUCCGAAAGAAGGCAGUUGCCUCGUGCAAU